rnacentral:rRNA from 1 species
AUUGAACGCUGGCGGCAGGCCUAACACAUGCAAGUCGAACGAGUGGCGGACGGGUGAGUCAUGUCUGGGAAACUGCCUGAUGGAGGGGGAUAACUACUGGAAACGGUAGCUAAUACCGCAUACCAUCGGAUGUGCCCAGAUGGGAUUCGCUAUUAGGUGGGGUAAAGGCUCACCUAGGCGACGAUCCCUAGCUGGUCUGAGAGGAUGACCAGCCAAACUGGAACUGAGACACGGUCCAGACUGCUACGGGAGGAAGCAGUGGGGAAUAUUGCACAAGGGGCGCAAGCCUGAUGCAGCCAUGCCGCGUGAAUGAAGAAGGCGUUCGGGGUGUAAAGUACUUGCAGCGGGGAGGCGUUACCCGCAGAAGAAGCACCGGCUAACUCCGUGCCAGCCGCCGCGGUAAUAC